GUAGUCCACGCCGUAAACGAUGUCGACUUGGAGGUUGUUCCCUUGAGGAGUGGCUUCCGGAGCUAACGCGUUAAGUCGACCGCCUGGGGAGUACGGCCGCAAGGUUAAAACUCAAAUGAAUUGACGGGGGCCCGCACAAGCGGUGGAGCAUGUGGUUUAAUUCGAUGCAACGCGAAGAACCUUACCUACUCUUGACAUCCACGGAAUUUGGCAGAGAUGCCUUAGUGCCUUCGGGAACCGUGAGACAGGUGCUGCAUGGCUGUCGUCAGCUCGUGUUGUGAAAUGUUGGGUUAAGUCCCGCAACGAGCGCAACCCUUAUCCUUUGUUGCCAGCGAUUCGGUCGGGAACUC
rnacentral:rRNA from 1 species